rnacentral:rRNA from 1 species
UACGUAGGUGACAAGCGUUGUCCGGAUUUACUGGGCGUAAAGAGCGCGCAGGCGGUCGUUCAAGUCGAGUGUGAAAGCCCCCGGCUCAACUGGGGAGGGUCAUUCGAUACUGAUCGACUCGAAGGCAGGAGAGGGUAGUGGAAUUCCCGGUGUAGUGGUGAAAUGCGUAGAUAUCGGGAGGAACACCAGUGGCGAAGGCGACCACCUGGCCUGUUCUUGACGCUGAGGCGCGAAAGCUAGGGGAGCAAACGGG